GGUCAGCUGACACAUCCCUGCCAAUCUCCGGCAGACCCUCCCUCCCAGACCCUCCCACCUCCUGGACAGCAUUCAUGUUGAAGCUGCCUUCAACAUGGAUGCUGUCCAGGAAGUAGGAGGGUCUGGGAGGGAGGGUCUGCCGGACAUUGGCAGGGAUGUGUCAGCUG